UACGUAGGGACCGAGCGUUGUCCGGAAUCAUUGGGCGUAAAGAGCGUGUAGGCGGCUAUUUAAGUCCUGCGUGAAAUCCUGCGGCUCAACCGCAGACGGUCGUGGGAAACUGGAUGGCUAGAGUGCGGGAGAGGAGAGUGGAAUUCCCGGUGUAGCGGUGAAAUGCGCAGAUAUCAGGAAGAACACCCGUGGCGAAAGCGGCUCACUGGACCAUUACUGACGCUGAUGCACGAAAGCUAGGGGAGCAAACAGG
rnacentral:rRNA from 1 species